rnacentral:rRNA from 1 species
GAUGAACGCUGGCGGCGUGCCUAAUACAUGCAAGUCGAGCGAACGGACGAGAAGCUUGCUUCUCUGAUGUUAGCGGCGGACGGGUGAGUAACACGUGGAUAACCUACCUAUAAGACUGGGAUAACUUCGGGAAACCGGAGCUAAUACCGGAUAAUAUUUUGAACCGCAUGGUUCAAAAGUGAAAGACGGUCUUGCUGUCACUUAUAGAUGGAUCCGCGCUGCAUUAGCUAGUUGGUAAGGUAACGGCUUACCAAGGCAACGAUGCAUAGCCGACCUGAGAGUGUGAUAGGCCACACUGGAACUGAGACACGGUCCAGACUCCUACGGGAGGCAGCAGUAGGGAAUCUUCCGCAAUGGGCGAAAGCCUGACGGAGCAACGCCGCGUGAGUGAUGAAGGUCUUCGGAUCGUAAAACUCUGUUAUGAGGGAAGAACAUAUGUGUAAGUAACUGUGCACAUCUUGACGGUACCUAAUCAGAAAGCCACGGCUAACUACGUG